rnacentral:lncRNA from 7 species
GUUCCCCAGUUGUAGGCUACAAGUCAGUCCUGUCUCCUCGCGUAAUCUGAUAUGACCACAGCUGCUGCUGCCAGGGAAUGUUUCCCACGUCCCUCAGCUGUAGGGCUGCUCAAACUGCACCUGAGCAGCAAAUGUCUGAGUUCUCACCCAGUUACUUAGAGGAACCUAGAGGUUGUGAGAGCUUAGAUUUUCUUUGUGAGCUUGAAUAAAACCAAGAGAAGUAAAAAUUACUGAUGUUGGUGUUGCACUGAAAGAAACAGGAAAUAAUGGUAUGGAACAAUUCCUCCUUUACUACCACAGAAGCCAGCACUGCGUUUGACAUAUUGUGAUGCUAUUCUUUUCAGUGUUAACUGUGCAUUAUUUGACCCACUUACUGUAAUUUUUUUUCUAUGUUCAGUGUUCUCUGUGCAUUGCUCCCUAGUUUCUCCUCUCUUUUGCUUAAUGAAACUGUACCAGAUUAUGUUGCUGGUUAAACAGUAUCAGAAGCCAGAUAUUGCCUUUAUUUUCUAUUCCUAAGUGUAAUUUUAAUGAUUAACCUUUUUAUGCAAUGAAGAGAAAGUAAUGCAGCAGAAGUGACAUUAAGAUUAAAACUGUGCUGUUAUUAAAAACUGCUAUCAGGAUAAAUUAAUAUUUUCACAGAUAAUUGCUUUCAUCUUUUGAGCCUCCUCAUUCUGGAGAACAAAGUCUCUCUUUUCCAAUAUGCUGGAAAUCUUUUCAUUAACUCUUUUUAGGGGGUUUGGUUAUCAGUAAGAAUGGCAGAGUUUUUAUUUUCUCUGUGCCACGCUGCUAGAGCAUUAUGUACAAAGUACUAGCAUCUUGUCUGAUUGUGUUAAGCUAAAGUCUAUGCCAAUGUGAAAACCACAAAUAGCAGAUCUGCAACAAUCUCGUGUAUAUGUUCAAAACAAACCCAUGGAGUCUUGCUAUGGUGAAGUCAGACUUGGGAUCUGCAGUAAACUUGUAUUUAAAACAUCUUUAGACCUUAGCACUGGAAUGAGUUAUUGAAGCUGCUGCUCAUGGAGAGGAAGCAAAUUACAUGUGGAAAGUAUAACUCUUGUACCAAACCUGUCAAUACUAAGAAGCUCAUAAUCCUGCCUUAGGCUCUUCCUAAACACUCAAGGGCAGUGUUCUUGAAUGCAGAGCCAGGGCAAACAAGCACAGUGUGCAAUGCUUUGCUGCACUGCUGCUGGGAGUGCAAAUGAUGAAUACCACAACAAAGGCUUUUCAGUUUCUGAAGUACUGAUGUACCAGAAGCAGCAGUGUAAUAAAAAAAUGAAGAUACUGGAACUUGUAAACUGCUGACUAAGAUGUGAGGAAGGGAGAAGACGGGACUGUUGUGCCUUGAGGGAACCUCUGGAGGAACUGGGGAGUGUGAGGGUGAGGGCCCAUUUUGGGUCCUAUAGCUCCUGAAUAAAUUGCAGGAGAGAUUUCUGAACAAAAGCAAUGUUAGAGCCUUAGCUGGCUUAACCCACAGAUAAAGGACUCCUUCAGCCUGUCCUGCUCCUGCUUCGGUGCACUGCUGGGAGGAGAAUUACUGGUUAAGACAGUCUCCUGGCUGGCUUGGUUCAGUACUAAGACAUAGAUAUAGCAAUUCUCAACAAUAAAAGCUGAUUGAAGAGAUUGAGAAAAACAACGAGUGGUGUAUGAAACUGUUCUGGGAAUAACUCCUGAAGAUGAGAUUGGAUGGGGACUUGGAAUUAGAAGUAAUCCCAGCUACUCACUAAGCACAGGACCCUAUGCCAUGGUACUGCAAAAUAUCAUCUUGGUACAUAAUCCUUCCAUGGGCAUGAUUGUGCCUGACAUGCCCACUAAAGGGCACUGAGGAAAGCUUUCCAAAUGCAUCUGGGACUGAAGUCUCAAACCUAAUAACAGAAUAUAUGUUACGUGAGUGCACGUUAUGUGAGUUUAGCAAUAUCACUGAAUUUAAGGCCAGGAGGGACUAUUAAUAUCAGCUACUCUAGAUUUUCUGCUUUAUAUAUGUCAUAGAAAUUUCAAUUCCUAUGUGAUGCUCAUCACUUCUAAUAAAGCUAGAAUACAAUCUUCAUCACAUUAAAUAUUUCUAUCAGUUUAAACUUCUGAAGAAUCCAGGUCCACCACUUGUUAAAUUCAAUAGAGAAGAUAAUUUACCCAUAUAUCUAUAUAUAUACACAUUUGUUUGGAUUUGAUGCAUCUGUAGCCAGUGACAGAGCUGCUCAGCCUCAAAAGACCCUCUACAGAUGUGUUUGAAUGUCUUUUUGCUAACAACCGGAAUGCUUUCCACGGAGCCUCUUGUAUUCCCAGCCUGCAAAUCUGCUCUACAGAUGCUUGCAGGAUCAGACAGUGUGCUGAUUUUUUUCUCCUCCUAUGUGGACUGUCUUUCUGUACAGCAAUGCUUGUCUCUAAUGAUGCUUGUGGAAAUUGUACUUGAUACGUUAUCACAACACAAGUAUUGACAAUCCUAUUAGUAGACAUUCUUCUGAAAGCUUUACUUUCAAGGCUUGGCUUAGCUUACUCUGAACAGCAAAAUCACAAAUGCUGGUAAAGUUUUGUCAUCUUAUGGAGUUAAGGAAAUGAAUGUUUAAAAAUGCUAGAGCAUCAUGUCUUGUAUUCUUUCAUAUCAAUCCUUAUUGAAAAUAUCUGCUUCACACAAUUGUAUGAAACAAUGGCACAUUCAGCUUUUAAGUGUAUACCAGGUAUUUAAAACUCUAGCUGAAUCCUACUGGUAUCUGGGUAUGUGGCUGUUAGGUUCUUACGUUUGACUAUCAAAAAGGGAUUACUUGAAGCCAUUUUUCAAAGCUGCUCACCCCUGCUGUCAUGGAGGCAGGUAUCAAAACUCCCACUGACUUAAGGCAGCAGCUUUUGAACUCUCCUAAUCACUAUAGUUUCUAUGCUAGGGUCAGCAGCAUUUAUUUUAUUAAUUAAUUCUGCACAUCUUAUGCAUUAGUUCUCUGAAGCUUUUUAGCUUGCAGUCACAGAUAUUUUGCAUCUCUGAAUUAUUUGUGAAGAACUUGAUGAAAUUCAAAACGUGUUUUAGGGCAUAAAGGUGCUGAAAAAAUCAGAGGCAACUGAACAAUGAUAAAGAUGCAUAACAACAAGACUUUAGGUCUUUUAAAAUCUAGAUCAAAAUCUU